GGUAUAGCUUAGUUGGUUAAAGCGCCAGAUUGUGGUCCUGGAGAUCGAGGGUUCGACUCCCUCUACC
rnacentral:tRNA from 1 species